AUGGUACUCCCACCAACAGAACCAACCGACACGAAGAAACAAGCUGAACGCAAGAAGAAAAACAAACGGCAAAGGGUAGAAAAAGAACAAGACGAUACCAACAGCAAAGGUUCAGAUACCAAUGACGACGACGAUGACAGACAGCAUGAUGCAGAUUUCAUUCCUAUAGACAGCGAUGAUGCCGAAGAGCACGACAGCGACCCAGAUCAUGACGACGAUCCCAAAUCAGGCAAGAAGUACAGAAAGAGAAGAAAGACAAGCGGGAAAGAACUGGUAGUACCAACAGUUGAUGAAGAACAGCAAGAAACAGACGAAGAGAAAUGCCAAAUCAAGGCAGGGGCAGCAUUCGCCCAUUUGUACGGGUUCACGACUAGUUUACUUAAAGACCGUCACAAGAAAGAUAUUAGGACGGCAGGAUUUGGCAGCAUAGAGAACUGCAAAAUAACGGGCUCCAUCUGCAGACCACUUGCAGCACACAUCUACGACAACCUCAACACAGAAACCAUGACAAUAACCUUCGGUGAUGCUACUGAAGACAAAAAAUCAAGAUUACCAAGGAAUCUACCCACAAGGUGUUUGGAUACACAAAUGGCACGCAAAGGUCAGCACCAAGGCCAGAGACUAGCCCGGCUUCAAUGA
rnacentral:rRNA from 1 species